CUUUUUUCAACGAUUGCCACUUUUUUUUGUUGAAGUGUUUGACAUGGACAACAACUGUGCCUUAUGCGCAAUGGCAAAACCACCUCUCCCAGGGCCCUCCAUUACUGACUGGAUUCAGUGUGACGACUGUGGAAGAUGGUUCCAUGCCCAGUGCCUCCAGAUGGAUGAUGCAGAGCUUGCACAUGUUUCUAAGGAGUACUGGAAGUGCUCUUUGUGCAUUUAAUAUAUUUUUGUUUAUUUGUUGUAUUUACUUCUCUUUUUGGUUAUCAUUUUUACUGUAUAAAGUUAUUCAGACAGAUGCAUCCAGUCUCAUAAUAAGACAUUUAAAAUGUGCACUUAUUACAAAGAAAUUAUAUUGAAAAUAUGUUUUAUCUUUUGUAUUUUUGUUGUUGUAAAGGUGUCUGCAUUAUAUAAAAGUGUUCAAAAGUG